GCUGGGUGCGGUGGCAGGUGCCUGUAGUCCCAGCUACUCAGGAGGCUGAGGCUGGAGGAUCACUUGAGCCCAAGAGUUCUGGGCUGUAGCUCACUAUGCUGAUCAGGUGUCCACACUAAGUUCAGCAUCCAUACAGUGACCUCCCGGGAGCGGAGGACCACCAGGUUGCCUAAGGUGGGAUGAACUGGCCCAGUUUGGAAAUGGAGCAGGUCAAAAUUCCCGUGCUGAUCAGUGGUAGGAUCAUGCCUGUUGAGUAGCCCCUGCACUCCAGCCUGGGCAACAUAGAGAGCCCGUCUCU
rnacentral:SRP_RNA from 1 species